GGGAUCUCAAUAAUGACAAGGUAUUUGUUUAGCCUAUUGACAAGGUAUUUUCUUUGUAAUCUCAAAGUGAAGUCAGCUAAUGUAUUAAUAUGGGUUCAUACAUUCUGAAGUUGGAGGCAUGAAAACUAAAUAACGUCAUUGCUUUUUCAUUUGUUACUGGACACUAUUCUGCAACUGCUUAGUAAUUCCUAGUCCUCAAUAAUGCAGCAUUCUAUUGUCGGAUCUAACUUGCUUGGAAAAGACAUAGCUGUCUCUUGCUCUACCGUGUCACCUCACAUAGCAAAGAUCUGACUUCUUGACAAAUAAUUAAAUCAAACAAGUGCAUAAACUUGACUGUAAUAAUUUUGUGAAUGUUGCUUACAGCCAAAAUACAUGUGAUACAGAGAAAGUGUAUAUUGUUACUCUCUCUAGAGGAUGACCAAGAUCCUUUAGAGUAUGACAUAGCUUCAUCCAAUACAUGUCCCAGAUGCUACACUCAUAGGAUCUAAAAUCCUUAAUUUUGAUCAAAAUUAUACUUAAAUUAGUUACCAGAUUCCAUCUAAUGAAAGAUCCAAAAUCCCAAGUAUAUAUAUAUAUAUUGGGUGGGGGGGAUGAAAAAGAAAAGGUAAACAUGCAAUACCUGCCGAUGAAGACCAUCCCAGUAGAAAAGAAGUGAUGCUCUAGGAUUUUCCAAUAAUUGCUGUGCUUUUCUACUUUCAUAAUUGGUGUACCUGAAAGUGUAAAAUUGGCAGCAAUUCUCAAAACCACAAUCACUUCUACAAAUACAAUAAGGAUCUCAUUACUACACAACCAUUACAGUAAUGGACUAAUACUAACCAGACAAACCCAUCCUUAUCAACUCCUUUCAACAAUACCAUUCUUGAUGAGCUGCAACAGGAAGUAACAUGACAUACAAAGACUAAUCAGGUCAUAAACAAUGGUAUAACAUGGGCAUUCAGAAUGAAGCAUUUCCACAAUAUAAUCAAUAAAAUUAGUAAAAUAUGACAAGUUUUUGAACAAUACAACCAAUGUCAUACUGGAAGACACAUUUUUCUCUUCAUUAAACAGGGGAAAAUAUUUGCAGUAUUGAACCUUAAUCAUCUCAUUUUCAUCCAUAAACAUCAAUAAUGCAAGAGAAAUUUAACAUUAAGAAAACCUACUAAGAAAUUUUUUUUAGAACAACUCCAAAUGAGAAAAUUGUCUCACAGCAUUCAUCUUUAUAAUAUACAUGGAUCUAGUAAUGCUAAAGCCUAAAAGUGUACAGACUGAUGCUUUAAGAAGGACGUUGAAAAGGUGACUUUAGAACCAAAUUUGUAAUGUUGAACAAGCAUCAGGCGAAGAUACUGUUCACACUUUGAGAGGAAGCUCUUAUGAUCUCAUAUAGGUCUAAGACCCUUUGGACCAACUGAAUUUUAUUUAUCACACCGAAUUGUUCUGUUGUUUUUGUGGUGAUUUAUUUAGUUCUCUGUUUUCCAAAUAUCGAAUGGGCCUGGGCUGAGAAGAGGCAAAAGAAAAAGAAACCCUGACAAGGAAGGGCUGUGUGAUCUUUUUGUUUCCUGUGUGUCAGUUAUACUGCAAGCUACUUUCGUUGUUAUGUUAUUCCACAACGAAACUCAUAUUCUGCAAGUAUAAGAUGGUUAUUCUUGGCUUUAAGAGAUCGCUAAGUUUAAACUUAAGGGAAAGGGACUUACAAUUUUACAUUAGUGCUAAACAAAAUCAUGACGUGGAACAUGAAAUCUUGUUAAGAAAAUGUUGGAUGCAGAAACUGAGUGAAGUCUUAUGUCUUCUUCUUCUUCCCCUUUUUUUAAUGUGGGAAGGUUAAAGUUCUCAAGGGGAGACAAUAUCCUUUUUUUCCCCUAGCUGUAAUGCAAUAACUCUGUGCUGUGAUUCUGCAGCCCCUAUAUCAAUAAGUAAGAGUUGUUGGCUGAAGAUAAAAGGAUGAAAGUAUCCUAUUGUAAUGUUAAGGAUGGUCUACAAUUUGAUCAUACACCCAACUCUCUAAACAUGCUGAUGCAUAGUAGUACUUUCAAAUGCAUUCUUUAAAAAGCAAAAUAUCAACUAAACAAAUCGUUAUUUAUUUAAGAUCAUAAACAUCCAUAUCAAAGCAUUAGUUUACCCAUUUGGAAGAAUGGUUGUUGCUAAUGUUUUGAGUGUCAACCAAAAAAUAGCAAAAGAAGAUGAACUUACGGUUUUCCAUCCUUUCCAACAGUUGACAAGCACAUAGCAUUUGGCUCCUUCAAUCCAGCAGCCACAGCAUCAUCAAACCAUUUGAGAAACUGCAAGAUAUCAAAUGGCUUAAUUUUGAUACUUAAAUUCAUUUUGCAAUGGCUGUUAGUCUGUUACCAAAAAAAAAAGGUGAAAAAAAAAAGUAAUAAUGGUCAAGUUGUUAAAUUGCAAGCAUCAAGGGAAAGGAAUUCAAAUGUAGAUUAGCCCUAAUACCAUCAAGACAAACCUGAUCAAUGGGAUUAGCCUCCACCUGGUCCUCAAGGAAUUCAGGAGAAAUAUAGUUCUCCCUUAGAGCUGAUAUAUCGAUUUGUGGAGGCUUUCCAAUUUGGACACACAUAGAAGCACCAGGAUAUUGUGGGAGAUGCAGCUUAUAUUUCUCCACUAUCGAUGGUGGGACAAACCUACCGCCUAGAAAGUGGUGAGGACCAGAAAAUUUCUUGGCACACAACUUUGGAGCAGUCAAAGAAACCUAUAAAAUACUAAUAUUAACAAUAAGGUUUAUUUCAUUAUAACAAAAAUUAUGUAAAAGUAUUAAAAAAAAAAAAAAAGAACAUACCAACAUGUGAGGUUUGAUUCCUUCACCAGCAACAUCACCUUCUUCAACAUGCCAUCCAGAUGGAAUAUCUACAGAGACAAUAACCGAGGACUUUUGGCGAGUUUGAUUGUACUUAUGCAAGUUAACCAAUUUUUGGAUUAGAUCAUCAAAAGGUGGUCUUGGAGAACCUGAAAUAUUUGAAGAUGUAAAAAUUAGAAGUCAAAUAGGAAUAAAUGAGGCUUCAUGAGUAAAGAAAACAAAAGGCCCAUAUUUAGAUAAAUUAUAUAGGUUAGCCAGGCAUAUUAUAGACCUCAGUCAUUAAAAGAACUCAGAUCAGGUAGCAUUGCUUUGAGGAGCUGAAAUUUUCACAAGCUAAAUAAAAUGGCACGAGAAUAUUAAACAAUAAUCCAACAACAAAAUCUUAAGAGCUAAAAUUGUAACAGAAAUUCUCACUUUUAGCAUUUGCAUCCAAUAUUCCAUACACUUACAUAUUAUUCAAGAGAAUAAAUAAAAAUAAUCUUAACUUGAUUGACAUUUACUAGAAACCCCAAGAAAAAUUGAAAUAAUCUUUCUAAGACAUCAGAUUGAGCAUGAAUAGACAUGAACAAAAGCAAAACAAGGGAUUACCAUGGAAUGAGAACCCAAACAUUGCAUCUACUAGAACAUCAAAGUCCUUUGACAACUCUGAAGGCAGAUCUCCCACUGUCAAGAAAGGGACCGCCAAUGAUUCCAGCUACAAAAUUACUAAAUCAAAUAAGAACUCCAAAGAACUGCAGUAUCUGGUGGUUCAAGUACAUUUGAACUUGUGUCACCCCAUACCUGAGUAACCAGACCAGUAAAAAGAGGUUUGGCUGUACGCUUUGGAUAACAAACAAACGGUUUAUAUCCAAAGUGAUGCAGAUGGCGAGCUGCUACCAACCCAUCACCUCCGUUGUUCCCUGGACCGCAAAUUGCAAGAACACGAUUGUACUCGCUUGGCUUGUAAACCUGCCAACAGAUUCAAUUUCAAAAAGAAACCUGAAUUGAGUUCUUAGUUGCCCAGCAGAUUGAAUUUUCUUAAAUAACGAUCUUGUUUCUUUCCCCUUUUCUGCAAAAAUCAUGGAAAUUAUAUAGGUAUAAUGAUAUUAGCUUGUUAAAUAAACCAAAAAAAUUACUAAUCGUCAAAAUACACAGAAACGUCAAGAUGUAUGCACAAGUAAACUUUCAAAGUGUUCAUCUAAGUUCCACAGCAAAAAUACAAGUACAACAAGAAAAAUUGAUCUGGUUCUUUAACUAAGCAAACUAAUAAAAUUAGUCAAUGAAUGUAAAAGUCCAUAGUAAAAAGACGAUAGCAAAGAGGGGGAAGUUUGCAAUGGUAGACAGAAAGGGCAGGAUGGAGCAGUUAAGGCCACAGCCCCCUCCACAAAAAAAAAAAAAAAACGGUGAGAAACAGGUUCAAGGAUUAGAGGGAAGCAGCAAAAGAAAUAGCACAACAAGAAACUUUUCGUAUUUUCAGUCAGGAACUGAUAACAAUGUUAAACUUUUGACGAAUAUAAAUUCAAAAGCAAGUAACGAAGAAACUAUCUGCGAGAAACUAAUAACAAUUAUCAUAAAAAUUAAAGCAUUACCUCUGCUAUAGAAGUUGCAACACUCAAACCAGCCAAUUCCUGCAAACGCCAUUAGAAACAGUAAAAUGUAGCAAGAGAGAAAUGUAAAAGUAAAAGCCAUCUAAAAAAAUUCAAACGGAGAUAUAUCGAUAAGAUUCCUAACAUCGUAAUCCAAGCAUUUACAAGUUAUAUAUAGUUGUUAGAGUGUGAGAAUCCACAUAGAAUUCUACACUGACCAUCAACUGAUCGACGCUAAAUCCGAGAGGGCCCAUGAGAAUCUCAUCAAUCUCCGCGGCAUCACGCUGCGUGAGGUAGGAUAUGGACUCAGGACUUGUCAUGCUUUGCAUUACUCGUGUCGCUUUUACAAAUGAAAUUGAAGCAAAGGAACGGAUUGCAGGAAGCGAUAUCGGACAGGUAGAACCCUAAAAAAAGGUCAUCGGAAGUUAGAGAGCGAUGUUACGCAGUGAAGUUUGAAAGUCAGAGAGAACUUCAGUGAAUACCCAGGCGUUUUUGGAGAGGGAAUAGUGAGAGCGAGAGGCAUGGAAAUGGAAGAAGCAUUUAUGGCCGUGGAAGAGAGCGAACAUGUCAUUUUGGGCUUUUGCGUAGCUACCAGAUUCUUCUCAAUUCACGUUCUCUCCAUUCUGGCUGCCGCUAGGUAAAUCCUGAUUUCGCAAAACCCAGGCACACUCGAAAUUUCGCGGACCGUUAUUUUGGCGGUUGGCCCAUUUCACCGGUAUCGUUCCAUGUGGAAAUUAUGUUAUUCUUUUUUUUAUUUUAAUUUAAUGUUAAUAAAAAUUUGAAUUUAAGAUUUUGGAUAUUAUUAGACUUAUUACACUUUUUUUUGAGUGAGUUAAAAAAAGGAAGUUUAUAUUGGCAUGCCAUCUGAAAAAAUGGAAAUUUGUUUUUUAGCUAAGAUAUAUAUACA
rnacentral:lncRNA from 1 species